rnacentral:rRNA from 1 species
GCAUAUCAAUAAGCGGAGGAAAAGAAACUAACAAGGAUUCCCCUAGUAACGGCGAGUGAAGAGGGAAGAGCCCAAGAUUGAAAGCUGGCGUCUUCGGCGUCCGCAUUGUAAUCUCAAGAAGUGUUUUCCGCUUCGGACCAUGCCUAAGUCCCUUGGAAAAGGGCAUCAUAGAGGGUGAUAAUCCCGUACAUGGCAUGGAGCGCCCGAGGCUUUGUGAUACGCUUUCUAAGAGUCGAGUUGUUUGGGAAUGCAGCUCAAAAUGGGUGGUAAAUGCCAUCUAAGGCUAAAUAUUGGGGAGAGACCGAUAGCGAACAAGUACAGUGAUGGAAAGAUGAAAAGAACUUUGAAAAGAGAGUUAAACAGUACGUGAAAUUGCCAAAAGGGAAGGGUAGGAGGUCAGAGAUGCGUCUUGGGAUUCAGCCUUGCUUUUGCUUGGUGUUUUUCCCAAGUUGCAGGCCAACGUCGGUUUUGGGCACUGGAGAAGGGUGGAAGGAACGUGGCACCUCUCGGGGUGUGUUAUAGCCUUCUACUGGAUACAGCGACCGGGACCGAGGACAGCAGCGUACUCGCAAGAGCGGGCCUUCGGGCACCUUUACGCUUAGGACGUUGGCAUAAUGGCCCUCUACCACCCGUCUUGA